CUUAGGUUUUGCCUUUCUCUUCUCCAUUUCUUUUGGUUUCGUUCCUUCGCAGUUUAAAGUUUUACACGAGGUAUUCUUCGUGGCUGUUCGACUUCGCUCCUUCGACGACGUUCCCUUCCUGUUGCAGCGGAAGUUACGACAUUUUUUGAUCCGAAGAACAACGGGAGCUCGCUUGCUGCGAAGAUUUUUUGUAAUGUAAGAAGAGGAGUUAUGGGUCGCCCAGAGCCUUAUGUCCUGUUUGCACAGACCUUCACUCAUCCAUUGCUUGACGAGUAUGUUGAUGAGGUCCUCUUUGCUGAACCUAUUGUUAUAUCUGCCUGCGAGUUUCUAGAGUUGAAUUCACCGUUAUCUACUCCACCCUUUUCACUUAUGGGGGCAACUUCUCCUCCGUCUUUUGCAAUGGAGUUAUUUGUUCAUUGUGAAGGGGAAUCACGAUUUAGGCGGCUUUGCCAACCUUUCCUUUAUUCACAUUCAUCGUCUAACAUUUUGGAAGUUGAGGCUAUAGUUACCAGCCAUUUAGUAGUAAGAGGUUGUUAUCGAAGCAUCACACUCGUAGUUUAUGGUAAUACUGCAGAAGAUUUGGGGCAGUUCAAUAUAGAUUUUGAUGUGGACAAUUCUUUGGCUAGCUUAGUUUCCUCUCCUUUGGAUGGAAAGCUUGAAGAUCUGCCACCUGCUUUGUUUUCAGAUAAGUGGACCAUUGAGGAAUUAGUAUCUUCCACAUUGUCGCUGUCACUUCCAUUUUCAGAUUUGGAUAUUUCGUCUGAAAUGAGACAGUUCCUACAUUUGGCUCUGAAGAUCUGUCAACUCUCUGAUGAUGAGGCCAUCAUUCUUAAGAUAAUAAGAACCAUUAUAACCACUCUCCAAUCACAUGUUAAUAAUAAUUAUUGUGGCAUUGUUGCCAGUGGAAAUGAAUUGAGGCUCCGUAAUGCCACAUGUGUCAGAGAAGACCUGCAGAAAGUCCUUUCAGUUAUUUCAGAGGCAACAAAUGAGAUGCUUGAAGUUUAUCAGUUCCUCCAAAGCUCAGCACGGAAUGAGAACCUAUUGCUAGACACUGUUGACGCAUCUUGUUCUGAUUCAGUUACCUCUCAACUGGUGGUUGAUAUGCUGUAUCAGCAAUUCCCAUUUUUGCAGAACUUCUCGUCUCUUGAUAUUCCACAUAUCUUCCAGAACAAAAAGUCAACCCUUGGAUUAAGCAUGGCUCUUUUGGUUUGCUCGGCAAGUGAGAGCUGUUACCAUUUUGUCAAUGGAGGUGGAAUGGAACGAAUUGUUACUUUACUGGGUGAUGAGAUGCGAUGCUCUACAGCUUUUACACUACUUUUACUUGGUGUUAUUGAGAAUGCUACUCGACAUGCGGUUGGCUGUGAAGCAUUCUUGGGCUGGUGGCCUAGAAAUGAUGACAAUGUGCCAGCUACUAAAAGUGAAGGUUACUGCAAUUUGCUGAAAUUGCUUCUUAGGAAACAGAGACAUGAUGUUGCUUAUCUUGCCUCCUAUGUUCUGCAUCGAUUGCGCAUCUAUGAAUUAGCCUCAAGAUACGAGUUUUUAGUGUUAUCUAUUGUGGAAAAUCAUUCUUUAGAUUGUCCAUCUAAAGCUGACACAGUAAAUUCACUUUUGAGUGCUUCUUCCCAAAUCAAACAAAUUCUGAAAUUGUUAAAUUUAUGUGGACCAUUUGAGGAUCCAUCUCCUGCUGGCAUCGCAAGAAGAUCUUUAAGCACUGGUAAACCUGAUGGGCCUUUAUCAUACAAAGCAACAUCCGGCUACAUUGCCUUUUCUAAAUAUAGUUUCUUGACUUGGGAUAUUGACGUACAUUUGCUGUCACUUCUAAAGGAAAGAGGAUUUUUUCCUUUGUCAGCAGCUUUAUUGUCCUUUCCAUCACUGCAUUCAGCUACUGGAAUUGUAGCUGAAAUCUUUAUGGAAAUUGCCGUCUUAUUUCAGUCACUGCUUCUGGCUCUUCUGUUUUGCCGUUCAGGCUUGACAUUUUUGCUACUUGAGCCAGAAAUAACUUCUACCAUUGUUCUUUCUCUUCAAUGUUUUGAAAACAACAACAAAUCAGAAUGCUCAACUCUCCGUCAAGCAGCUUUUCAGAUGUCAAAGGGAUUCUUUUGUCAUCCCCAAGAAAUUGCAAUGAUUAUGGAGAUCCAUCUUAGAGUGGGCAAGUCUAUUGACCGGUUACUUGCUACAAACCCUUGUUCUGAUGAAUUUCUUUGGGUUCUUUGGGAUCUCUGCGCUAUCUCCAGGUCUGAAUGUGGCCGUCAAGCAAUUUUAUCCCUUGGUUAUUUUCCUGAGGCAAUAUCAGUUUUGUUGGAUGCAUUUCAUUCUUUCAAGGAUCCUGAGUCAAUAUCUGGCAGCAAUGGAACUUCUCAGCUGGGUCUUGCCACUUUCCAUUCAGCGGCCGAAAUUUUUGAAAUAUUGGUUUCUGAUUCUACAUCAUCAGCACUCAGAACUUGGAUUGGACAAGCUAUGGAGCUUCAUAAGGCAUUGCACUUGUCUUCCCCAGGGUCUCACAGAAAGGAUGCUCCUGCAAGGCUGCUGGAAUGGAUUGAUGCCGGUGUUGUUUAUCAAAAAAAUGGAGCUAUUGGACUUCUUAGAUAUGCUGCUGUUUUAGCUUCUGGAGGGGAUGCUCAUCUGAGUUCUACAACUGUAUUGGUGUCAGAUUCCAUUGAUGUUGAGAAUGUUGUGGGAGACACAUCAGAUGCUUCAGACUCUCAGAUGUUAGAUAUUCUUCUAGGGAAGCUUGUUAAUGAUAAGUUUUUUGAUGGUAUUACCCUACGGAAUACUUCUAUCGUGCAACUGACGACAGCCAUUCGGAUUUUGUCUUUUAUUUCAGAGAAUUCGGAUGUGGCAGCAGCCCUUUUUGAAGAAGGUGCUGUGACAUUACUAUAUGUGGUUUUAGCGAACUGUAAAUGUAUGGUCGAGAACUCAUCAAAUACAUAUGAUUCAGAUUAUCUCGUUGAUGGAGCAGAAUGCAAUUCGACCUCUGAAUUGCUUUUGGAACGAAGUUAUGAGCAGAGCCUAGUUGAUCUUAUGAUUCCAUCGCUUAUUUCACUGAUUAACAUUUUGAAGAAAUUACGAGAAACAAAGGAGCAAUACCGGAAUAAGAAGUUACUUAAUGUUCUUCUACGGUUGCAUCAUGAAGUGAGUCCAAAGCUAGCAGCAUAUGCAUCAAAUUUCUCUUCACACUUUCCCCGGCUUGGGCUUGGUUUUGGUGCUGUUUGCCAUCUUGUUGCGUCUGUGCUUGCUUUUUGGCCCGUAUUUGGUUGGAUUCCUGGCCUGUUCCAUUGUCUUCUUGAAAGCAUGCAAGCUACAUCAUCAUUACCUUUGGGUCCAAAGGAUGCAUGUAGCAUGAUAUGUCUGUUGAGUGAUCUUGUUCCUGAAGAAGGAAUUUGGCUUUGGAAUUAUGGAAUACCUUCGUUGAGCGCUGUUACCACAUUGACCAUAGAGACUGUCCUAGGACCUGAAGUUGAAAAAGAUAUUCACUGGUAUUUACAGCCUGAGCAUCUUGCUGUGCUCCUUGUUCGGUUGACUCCUUUGCUUGACAGGAUUGCACAGAUAGUCCUGCAUUUUUCUUUCACUACAUUAGUGGUCAUAAAAGACAUGCUGCGAGUCUUCAUAGUUCGAAUUGCUUGCCAGAGACCUGAAUGUGCAGAUGUCCUCCUGAGGCCUUUAAUUUCUUGGAUUGACCAGACCACUAGUGAAGCAACUCUCUCAGAUGCAGAUCUUUUUAAGAUGUAUGGAUCACUUAACUUCAUUGCUAGUUUGUUGGAGCAUCCACGUGCAAAGAUAUUGCUAUUGAAGGCUAGUUCUAUCAGGGUUCUUGUGAAUGCCCUCAAGCGAUGUGGUGAUGAAUGCAUUGUUGAUGGGAAUUUUUAUCUUGACAACAAACUUGUGAAGAAUGCAACAUUCUUUUCUUGUUCGUGCAUGCCUCUCUUGAAAUCUCUCGCUCUACUUUUGGACUCUCGGAAAUCCACACAGCUUGAUAAGAUGCAUAAUCUAUGUCUUAUGGGGGAUAUUGGCGUUGAAGAUGGUUGUUUGAUUGGGCAACAACUCAUUAGGCUAUGCCAGGUUCUUCCUGUUGGAAGGGAAUUGUUAGGAUGCAUGGCUGUCUUGAAGGAGUUCAUUUCAUCAGAAGUGGGUAGAAGAGCACUUGAAUCCAUAUUCUGCCAGUUCCAAGCCUCAUUGAAUGAUGACCGUAAGGAGGAUGAAAAGGAUGCUGAAGAUUGCGCUUAUGAUAAAGCUGAUUGGAGGUUCCCUCCUUUUUUACACUGCUGGAAGAAGUUAUUGAGUUGCUUGGAUGCUGAGGAUGAUGCCUUAAACUUAGCUAUUGAAACUGCUUAUGCAUUGUCAUCAUGCGCUUUAUACCUUUGCAUGGAAACCCAGUAUUUUGCGGGUGUUUCAAUGGUGAGGUGUCUCUUUGGCCUCCCUGAUACUUUGCCUGAUGCUGCAAUGUCGACUGAUGAAAAGUCACAAGAUGUACUUAAGUUGGUAAUUUUGUUUGAGCAGAAAAUUAGCAAGGAAAACUUUACAUUUUCAGCUAUGAAUUUGGAUUUGCACAAGGUUAGGAAAUUAGUGAAGUCCAUGCUGCUUCUGUUGGAGAUUCCCUUCGUUUCACCAGUUAAACCGGAGGAUAUUUCAUGUGAAGGUUCCCAUUCAUCAAGUGAUGGAAACUCACCCUGUAACAUCAAAACCUUAUUGAUUUCAUUGUCAGACAUGAUUGCUAAUGAUGAUGAAGCUGCAUUUUCUCAUAUUUGGAAUUUCAAUUGGAACAAGGAAGGAGAGAAUGAAUUAUUUGCCCUAGGAUGCCUUUCAGAAAAAUUCAUGUGGGAAUGUCCCGAUUCUUCAUCAGAGCGUAUACCAAGUUCUACUGGAAAGAGAAAAAUAGUUUCAACUGAAAUGUCUGCUAAACGCUCUCGUGACAGUUUAGCACCAGAGGCUCCUGGCUCAAAUGCAUUUUUGCGAGCGGUUACCACCCCUGCCAAUCCAUCUGCCCCUAGUCGAAGGGAUACAUUUCGACAACGCAAGCCCAAUACAAGUAGACCACCCUCCAUGCAUGUGGAUGAUUAUGUUGCUAGAGAGAGAAAUAUUGAUGGCUUAAAUAGUAGUUCUCAUGUGGGUUCUUCACAGCGUGGUGGGUCAAGUGGGAGACCUCCAUCUAUUCAUGUAGAUGAGUUUAUAGCGAGGCAGAGGGAGCGUCAAAGUCCAGUAUUUGUCACUGUUGGGGAGACAACACUAGUCAGGCAAACAACACAUGAGAAUCAAAAUGAUAAUAGUAAACUGGACAAGUCACAGCAGUUAAAGGCUGAUUUUGAUGAUGACCUUCAAGGUAUUGAUAUAGUGUUUGAUGAGGAUUCAGGAUCCGAAGAUAGACUACCGUUUCCUCAACUUGAUGAAAAUCUGCAGUCUACCCCUCUAGUUGGGGAAAGUUCUCCUGGUUCUGUCGUUGAGGAGACUGACGGUGACGUAAAUGAUGGCACUCAGCUUGAAGACAUUGAGUCACGCUCAGAAACUAGCUUGAAGAGAACUAUGCCAACUGAAAUACCAGUAGCUCCAGAUAUGCGUGUUUCUUCAGAUAGAACUGUUGCAUUGACUACUGCAGACACAAGGUCCUUUUCACAGAAUUCUGAUGAAUCAAAGAAUGUAUCGCAGCCCAUGGGUUCUAGAGGAUUUGAUAUUCUCCCAAAUGCAGCCACUUCUGGCCCAUCAAGUUUGUUAAAUUCCAGCUCUACAACAACCUUUCAGCCAUUGCGUGGACCUACCUUUCUUCAGAGGGAUAGCUCACAAAAAGCUACUCUGGGCUCUUUGCCUUCUGGAUCUUUUGGAUAUUAUGAACACAAGCUCCCUAUCAAUCAACCACCCCUCCCCCCUAUGCCUCAUCCAACUGUCUCUACCAUGCCAACCCCAGGUAUUGAACUUGUGCAAGGCCUUUCAUCCCAUUAUAUUCCUAAUGUAAGAGAAAUGCAGCCGCCCUUUAUUUCAGGAUAUCCAGUGCAAACUUUUAAUGCCAAUGGUUCAACAAAUCUUCAUGGCCAGUCAGAGAAUGCAUCAUCAGUGAGCUCUUUAGUGUCACUAACUGCUCAACCUCUUGCUGAUAACAAACUUUCUUGGAAUUCGGACUCACCUAGCAGAAGCAAUACUUCUGCACGGCCAACACCGCCACUUCCUCCUACACCACCUCCGUUCUCCACACCACUAGCUCAAUCAACGUCCAAUUUUAGCUCCCAAACUUCAUUAUAUUUGCAAUCCACAAAUGCAGGCCAGGUUCCUCAACUUUCUACUCCUAUUACUGAUUUAGGAAUCUUCUCUGCUUCAGGCGCUGGCCUUUCUUAUUCACUACCUCCAUUGGCACCAGCAAUGCUGAACAAUAGACCAGCUGCUGCUGGAACAUUUUUUGGUUCACCUCCUCAGCCACAUGGUCAGAACCCUACUAGCAUCUCCCAGCCUGGUGUGCCGAAUCCUCCACUUUCCCUCCAGUCUAUUCCAGUGCAACCACCACUGCCGCCGCCACCUCAGCCACGUGCGCCUCAUCCUUCUCAGAACCUUGGGCUUCCUAUUCAGGUUCCACAGCCACAGUUCGAUCAAGUGAUGUCUCUUCCUCAAGGGACUAUUCAAGUUCAAAUGCAGCCCGUCCAUAUUCAACAGCAGCUCCCUCAAUUACAAAUUUUUUAUCCAUCACCUCAGCAAGAACACAUGCCACAUCCUGUUCAAAUUCCCCUUGCAGCACAGAUGAGAAAUUCAAUUCAAGAGUCUGAAAAUAUAGCUCAGCAGCAAAAGGAUUCAGGGAUGACAUUACAGCAAUACUUUUCUUCUCCAGAAGCCAUUCAGUCAUUGUUGAGUGAUCGAGAUAAACUCUGCCAACUGCUGGAGCAGCAUCCAAAAUUAAUGCAGAUGCUUCAGGGUGCAUUAAUGCUCAACUGACUGGACUUGAAUGAUGAAGAAGGUUUGAAGUGAAGGAAAUGGAAGACAAAGUAGUUGAGGUCACUGGCUUAUUUAAGGAGCGCUUGGGUCAGUUGUAGCAAUAAAUUUUAAUGGAAAACAUGAUUGCUCUUCAGCAGAUGUAAAUGUUACAAGCAUAUCAAGAGCUAAUCGUUUUUUGUAGUAUUUCCUGUAACAUCUUCAUUUACUUAGAAGCAGUCAAUAGCUGUAGCAGGAGCUGCCUCAGGUUUUUUGCGCACUUCUGGGGUUGCUGUGUUAUUAUUUAUCCAUGUAAAUAUGUAAAUUGUAGAAUUAUUAAUGAAUAUCGGUAGUAGGAUUCUUCAGGUCUA